UAUUGGACAAUGGGCGAAAGACUGAUCCAGCAAUGCGGCGUGUGUGAUGAAGGUCAUCGGAUUGUAAAGAUCUUAAGGUUGGGAGGAAGGUGUGUAGAUGAAUAAUCUGCAAUUAUGACGUUCACAACAGAAUAAGCACCGGUUAAAUUCGUGCAAGUAGCCGCGGUAAUACGAAUGGUGCAAGCGUUAAUCGGAAUUAUGGGGCGUAAAGCGCGCGUAGGUGGUUUGUCAAGUUGGAAGUGAAAGCACCGGACUCAACCGGGGAACUGCUUUCAAAACUGGCAAGCUAGAGAAUGGCAGAGGGUGGUGGAAUUUCCUGUGUAGCGGUGAAAUGCGUAGAUAUAGGAAGGAACAUCAGUGGCGAAGGCGACCACCUGGGCUAAUACUGACACUGAGGUGCGAAAGCGUGGGGAGCAAACA
rnacentral:rRNA from 1 species